rnacentral:rRNA from 1 species
AGUGAACGCUGGCGGUAGGCCUAACACAUGCAAGUCGAACGGCAGCACAGUAAGAGCUUGCUCUUACGGGUGGCGAGUGGCGGACGGGUGAGGAAUACAUCGGAAUCUACUUUUUCGUGGGGGAUAACGUAGGGAAACUUACGCUAAUACCGCAUACGACCUACGGGUGAAAGCAGGGGAUCUUCGGACCUUGCGCGAUUGAAUGAGCCGAUGUCGGAUUAGCUAGUUGGCGGGGUAAGGGCCCACCAAGGCGACGAUCCGUAGCUGGUCUGAGAGGAUGAUCAGCCACACUGGAACUGAGACACGGUCCAGACUCCUACGGGAGGCAGCAGUGGGGAAUAUUGGACAAUGGGCGAAAGCCUGAUCCAGCAAUACCGCGUGGGUGAAGAAGGCCUUCGGGUUGUAAAGCUCUUUUGUUGGGAAAGAAAAGAAGCAGGUUAAUACACCGAUGUUCUGACGGUACCCAAAGAAUAAGCAACGGCUAACUUCGUG